rnacentral:rRNA from 1 species
CUAUCUACAGGCUUAACACAUGCAAGUCGAGGGGCAUCAGGAAGAAAGCUUGCUUUCUUUGCUGGCGACCGGCGCACGGGUGAGUAACACGUAUCCAACCUGCCCUUUACUCGGGGAUAGCCUUUCGAAAGAAAGAUUAAUACCCGAUAGCAUAAUGAUUCCGCAUGGUUUCAUUAUUAAAGGAUUCCGGUAAAGGAUGGGGAUGCGUUCCAUUAGGUUGUUGGUGAGGUAACGGCCCACCAAGCCUUCGAUGGAUAGGGGUUCUGAGAGGAAGGUCCCCCACAUUGGAACUGAGACACGGUCCAAACUCCUACGGGAGGCAGCAGUGAGGAAUAUUGGUCAAUGGGCGCUAGCCUGAACCAGCCAAGUAGCGUGAAGGAUGAAGGCUCUAUGGGUCGUAAACUUCUUUUAUAUAAGAAUAAAGUGCAGUAUGUAUACUGUUUUGUAUGUAUUAUAUGAAUAAGGAUCGGCUAACUCCGUGCCAGCAGCCGCGGUAAUACGGAGGAUCCGAGCGUUAUCCGGAUUUAUUGGGUUUAAAGGGAGCGUAGGUGGACUGGUAAGUCAGUUGUGAAAGUUUGCGGCUCAACCGUAAAAUUGCAGUUGAUACUGUCAGUCUUGAGUACAGUAGAGGUGGGCGGAAUUCGUGGUGUAGCGGUGAAAUGCUUAGAUAUCACGAAGAACUCCGAUUGCGAAGGCAGCUCACUGGACUGCAACUGACACUGAUGCUCGAAAGUGUGGGUAUCAAACAGGAUUAGAUACCCUGGUAGUCCACACAGUAAACGAUGAAUACUCGCUGUUUGCGAUAUACAGUAAGCGGCCAAGCGAAAGCAUUAAGUAUUCCACCUGGGGAGUACGCCGGCAACGGUGAAACUCAAAGGAAUUGACGGGGGCCCGCACAAGCGGAGGAACAUGUGGUUUAAUUCGAUGAUACGCGAGGAACCUUACCCGGGCUUAAAUUGCAGUGGAAUGAUGUGGAAACAUGUCAGUGAGCAAUCACCGCUGUGAAGGUGCUGCAUGGUUGUCGUCAGCUCGUGCCGUGAGGUGUCGGCUUAAGUGCCAUAACGAGCGCAACCCUUAUCUUUAGUUACUAACAGGUUAUGCUGAGGACUCUAGAGAGACUGCCGUCGUAAGAUGUGAGGAAGGUGGGGAUGACGUCAAAUCAGCACGGCCCUUACGUCCGGGGCUACACACGUGUUACAAUGGGGGGUACAGAAGGCAGCUAGCGGGUGACCGUAUGCUAAUCCCAAAAUCCUCUCUCAGUUCGGAUCGAAGUCUGCAACCCGACUUCGUGAAGCUGGAUUCGCUAGUAAUCGCGCAUCAGCCACGGCGCGGUGAAUACGUUCCCGGGCCUUGUACACACCGCCCGUCAAGCCAUGGGAGCCGGGGGUACCUGAAGUACGUAACCGCAAGGAUCGUCCUAGGGUAAAACUGGUGACUGGGGCU